rnacentral:rRNA from 1 species
UACGUAGGGUGCAAGCGUUAUCCGGAAUUAUUGGGCGUAAAGAGCUCGUAGGCGGUUUGUCGCGUCUGCUGUGAAAACUGGAGGCUCAACCUCCAGCCUGCAGUGGGUACGGGCAGACUAGAGUGCGGUAGGGGAGAUUGGAAUCCUGGUGUAGCGGUGGAAUGCGCAGAUAUCAGGAGGAACACCGAUGGCGGAAGGCAGAUCUCUGGGCCGUAACUGACGCUGAGGAGCGAAAGCAUGGGGGAGCGAACAGG